AUAACAAGAAAGUAACAGUUGUAAACAAAGAAAACAAUUAAAAUGUGUCAAAAGACCUAUAACAUUUAUCCCUGCAAAAACAGGAAUAACUAUCACAACAAUGAUGAAAACAAUGAAGAAUUCCAAAGGUAAAAGAACAGUGUCAACAAACCUUGUUGUACUCCGUAUCAACAAAUAUACAGAAUAGAGAUCAAUAAAGUGAAUGCAAACAAAGCAACAAAAUAAGUUGACAGUAUGUACAAAAUUUAUAAAACAAGAGUAAAUUCAUUGAAUAGUGAAGCAAUAUAUACAAGUAAGAAGGAAAGAAAAAUAAUCAAAAACACAAUUAAAUGAAGAACAAUGUAAACAUUACGAAAAGCAUUUGUUAAGAAACCAGCUGCAGAUUGUAUGUCAAAUCGACAUAAUUUUGUGCUAAAGAAAGUAAAAAGUCUGAACAAAUUCAACAACUGACUAUUUGACCUUUGUUCAAAGCGAUGUUUGUCGAUUGAAUGACUGAACAAUUUUAACUCAAUCACCACAUAGCUUAGUCUCGAUCAUCCAGCCGCUUUAUUUUUCAAAGUAGAGCGUCUGGAUGACAAGUGAUAUAAAAAUGGUAAUUUAUGACCUUCGGAAUAGUAUCGGCUUUUUUAGCCUGUUGUCAAAGAUAAUGUCCAAGACGAAUAACCAAGAAGUUGGUUAUUGACUUCGGAAGAAAUGACAUUACGAUAAUAUUAUUGAAAAGCCCGAGUGAACCGAUUGUUGUUUAAAGCUAUUUAUAUAUUUUUGUGACGACAUACAAUUCAUGGAAAACACCAUACAGCAUGGCUUACAUGGGCAUGGACGCGAAGGAAAAACCAGCACAUCCAACCUUGGUAAGAUCAUAAAGAUGUUAUAACAACACACACUGUAACAUAAAUUGCAUAUGCAACCUGAUACACCGAGUAGUUAUAUUCUUUCAUGCAUGUCCGUGCAACGAUAACGAAUUUAUAAUUAUACAAUUAAGUUGACUGGGACAACUCGAACAGUCGUAUACGUUAUAAAUACAUUUUGGGUUGAUGUGUAGUAUCGUUAACUUUAUAAAUACUUGAUGUAAAACUUCUAUUACGCCGACAUAGCACCUUCAUCCAAGAUAAGUUUGUUUAUAUAUCUAAAUAAGGGAGCCUGCAUCUUGAUAUGUGUAAAAAAAGGGGGGAGGUGGAGAGAUACACAAUGUUGUACACAUUCAAAGAAGAUGCCAUUUUUUACAUAGUACACUAAAAGGUCAAAAUGAUUUAUACAUUCGAUUUUCUGCAAAACAAAAGACAGUGGAACAAUAUUUUCAGCAUCAAUGAAAAGAGGUGUCAAUGACUGCGACAGCAACCAGUGAACGGAAUGACAUAAAUUACCAAAUGUAGACAUCAUCAUGAUUAAGAGAUUAUCAUCUAGACUAAAACAAAAAGUGAAGAUAAAAUUGCCAAAAGCUCAACAUUUCACAAAUUAAGAGAUGUGGUAUGAAUACCAAUGAGAACUAUCCACCCAAGUUCAAAUGAAUUGGAUGUCAGAGGCGGAUUUAGAGGGGGGCCCAGGGGGCCCGGGCCCCCCCUUUUUGGGAAAAAAUUUGGUUGCUUAUAUAGGGAAUCACUGAAGCGUGACUGGAGCGGGCCCCCUCUAAGGUCAGUCAGUGGGCCCCCACUUAUGAAAAUUUCUGGAUCCGCCACUGGAUGUGAGCAGCCUUCAACAAUAAAAACAUCCAUGCAUGGUUUGGAUAGAGAAUACAAACAGGGAGUGUGUCAAAGAGACACUGGGUAACCCGAUCAAACAACAGUAAACAGCCCAAUGCCACCAAUGGGUCGGGUCUUCAACAAAGCAAGAUAAUCUUGCACCCUGAAGUGGGAUUUAACUUGCACCAGGACAAUAAUUUAUAAAAUAUAUUUCUAUGAUGGGUUUUUUAAACAAUUUGUUUUUCAUAUAUAUGCUAUGCUGGUGACUAAAAAUUGAUAUGAUUUUAAUAUUUACUUUCUUUUGUAGACAAACCAAAAAUGAUUUAUGGACACAGAUUUUAUGUGUAAAAUGUGACGAAUUAAAACAAAAAUGUAAUAUUAAGGAUUUUGAUUGUAUCAUAAACAUGCUUCAAUUUUAUUAGAACAAGAUUCAAACUGAAAGAUUUUUUUUUUAAUUACUGAUGCAUCAAUCAGUAUAAAUAGAUCAUAGAACCAAAAAUGUUGGGAUUAUUUUGACAGCCGCCACAAAGCGAGAGAAAAAAAUACACAGAC
rnacentral:lncRNA from 1 species